UACGUAGGGGGCGAGCGUUGUCCGGAAUCAUUGGGCGUAAAGCGCGUGUAGGCGGCCCGGUAAGUCCGCUGUGAAAGUCCAGGGCUCAACCCUGGGAUGCCGGUGGAUACUGUCGGGCUCGAGUCCGGAAGAGGCGAGUGGAAUUCCUGGUGUAGCGGUGAAAUGCGCAGAUAUCAGGAAGAACACCUAUGGCGAAAGCAGCUCUCUGGGACGGUACUGACGCUGAGACGCGAAAGCGUGGGGAGCGAACAGG
rnacentral:rRNA from 1 species